rnacentral:rRNA from 1 species
AUUGAACGCUGGCGGCAGGCCUAACACAUGCAAGUCGAACGAGUGGCGGACGGGUGAGUAAUGUCUGGGCAACUGCCUGAUGGAGGGGGCUAACGACUGGAAACGGUAGCUAAUACCGCAUACCAUCAGAUGUGCCCAGAUGGGAUUAGCUAGUUGGUGGGGUAACGGCUCACCAAGGCGACGCUCCCUAGCUGGUCUGAGAGGAUGACCAGCCACACUGGAACUGAGACACGGUCCAGACUCCUCCGUGAGGCAGCAGGGGGGAAUAUUGAACAAUGGGCGCAAGCCUGAUGCAGCCAUGCCGCGUGUAUGAAGAAGGCCUUCGGGUUGUAAAGUACUUUCAGCGGGGAGGCGUUACCCGCAGAAGAAGCACCGGCUAACUCCGUGCCAGCAGCCGCGGUAAUUC